UACGAAGGGAGCGAGCGUUGUUCGGAAUCACUGGGCGUAAAGGGUGCGUAGGCGGGUCUUUAAGUCAGGGGUGAAAUCCUGGAGCUCAACUCCAGAACUGCCUUUGAUACUGAAGAUCUUGAGUUCGGGAGAGGUGAGUGGAACUGCGAGUGUAGAGGUGAAAUUCGUAGAUAUUCGCAAGAACACCAGUGGCGAAGGCGGCUCACUGGCCCGAUACUGACGCUGAGGCACGAAAGCGUGGGGAGCAAACAGGG
rnacentral:rRNA from 1 species